rnacentral:tRNA from 1 species
GGGCGGCUAGCUCAGCUGGUCAGAGCACCUGGUUUACACCCAGGGGUCGGGGUUCGAACCCUCGCCGCCCACCA